rnacentral:misc_RNA from 1 species
UCCGAGUUGACCCCGGCAGUCUCCCAUGAGUCCCCGCCAUUACGCGCUGGCAACAUGGAACGAGGGUUGCGCUCGUUGCGGGACUUAACCCAGCAUCUCACGACACGAGCUGACGACAACCAUGCAGCACCUUAUUACCGGCCCCUUGCGGGGAAAUCUGCUUUCACAGACGGUCCAGUAACAUUCUAGCCCAGGUAAGGUUCCUCGCGUAUCAUCGAAUUAAACCACAUGCUCCGCUGCUUGUGCGGGCCCCCGUCAAUUCCUUUGAGUUUUAGCCUUGCGGCCGUACUCCCCAGGCGGGGCGCUUAAUGCGUUAGCUGCGGCACGGAACCCGU